ACGUGCUAAUCUGCGAAAAGCGCCGGCGAGGUGAUAUGAACCUUUGACCCGGCGAUGUCCGAAUGGGGAAACCCAGUGCAAUUCGUUGCACUAUCGUUAACUGAAUACAUAGGUUAACGAGGCGAACCGGGGGAACUGAAACAUCUAAGUACCCCGAGGAAAAGAAAUCAACCGAGAUUCCCCCAGUAGCGGCGAGCGAACGGGGAGCAGCCCAGAGUCUGAAUCAGCUUGUGUGUUAGUGGAAGCGUCUGGAAAGUCGCACGGUACAGGGUGACAGUCCCGUACACGAAAGCACACAGGCUGUGAACUCGAAGAGUAGGGCGGGACACGUGGUAUCCUGUCUGAAUAUGGGGGGACCAUCCUCCAAGGCUAAAUACUCCUGACUGACCGAUAGUGAACCAGUACCGUGAGGGAAAGGCGAAAAGAACCCCGGCGAGGGGAGUGAAAAAGAACCUGAAACCGUGUACGUACAAGCAGUGGGAGCACCUUCGUGGUGUGACUGCGUACCUUUUGUAUAAUGGGUCAGCGACUUAUAUUCUGUAGCAAGGUUAACCGUAUAGGGGAGCCGAAGGGAAACCGAGUCUUAACUGGGCGUUAAGUUGCAGGGUAUAGACCCGAAACCCGGUGAUCUAGCCAUGGGCAGGUUGAAGGUUGGGUAACACUAACUGGAGGACCGAACCGACUAAUGUUGAAAAAUUAGCGGAUGACUUGUGGCUGGGGGUGAAAGGCCAAUCAAACCGGGAGAUAGCUGGUUCUCCCCGAAAGCU
rnacentral:rRNA from 1 species